rnacentral:lncRNA from 1 species
UCGAUCUUCAGCACCACAUACAAACAAAGAUGUUGUGUCCGCCGAAAACUAAAAAAUAAAUAAAUAAAUAAAUAUUGAAAUUCUCUCUCUUUCUCUCAAAAAAAAAUUCCUAUUUCCAUCAAAUAUUUUUGAUAUUUUUAUAGUUUCACUGCACAUAGCAAGAAUGUGUUUAUUUUAACAGCUGCUAGUGUUGCAUUUAAUAUAUGGACCAUCAUUUUAUUUAGCCAAACUCAAUGAUAGGCAUUUGGGUUAUUCUGAUGUUUGAUUAUUGCAAAAUACUACAACAUCUUUGUAUACGUAUCUUUGUGUACCUAUGUAAAUAUUUCCAUGGGAUAAAUUUUUAGAAAUAUUUUGCUGAGUGAAAUGCUAAGAAUGUUUAACAUUUGAAUAGUACACAAUAUAGCAUUCAAGAUUCAACCAAUUUACACUCCCACUAACGGCAAGAAGGUGUAGUUUCUCCAUUUAGUUGCCAAUAUUAGGUAUUAAAUCAUUUUCAUUCUUUUUAAAAUAUUUUUCCCUUAGUUGUUGACAGAUCUUUAUUUAUAUGUGGUGCUGAGGAUCGAACCUAGUGUUUCACACUUGCAAGGCAAGUGCACUACCGCUGAGCUCCAGCCUCACUCAGCCCCAGCCCCUAUUUUCAUUCUUUUCUAUAUGAUAGGUGAGAAAUAUCUUAAAUUGUAUUUGUUUAUUUCAUGCUGUUUUAUAAUCUUUUUUUCACUUGAAAGUAUGUUUUAUGUAUUUUCUAUAUCAAUGAAUAUAGAUCACAUUAUUAUUUUAAAUGGUGUUAUAGCAUUUGAUUGUAAGGAUGUAACAAUUUUAUCUUUUUUAUGGUGCUGAGGAUCAAACACAUGGCUUCAUACAUGUUAAGCAAGCUACCACUGAGCAAUUUCUCUAAGCCCCAGAAUUUUAUCUUGAUGGACAUUUAGCUUGUUUUUAAGUUUUGUUCUUGUGAUUAACAUCCUUACUUACACAUCUUUUUUUUUUAGUCUAUCCUUAAAGUGAAAUACAUUGCUUGUUGAUAUACUUAUUAACCAAUGUUUAAUUUCUUCAAAAUAUAUAGCUUAUAAAGAGUAAUCUUUUGUGUAAUACUUCUUUUGCUCAGUAUAAUAAUUUUGAGAUUCAUAUAUUAUCGUAUGUAUUAAUUUUUUCUUUC